UUUUUCCAUAUAGCCUUUUAUUUUCUACAAAUUUCACAUAGUUAUUAUUUACCAUCAUACACACUCUGGUUUCAAAAAAGUCAUACGGGAAUAUCAUUUACAUACCUUAAUUUUAUAUAAUUCACAUGCAAACAAUAUGAUAUGGAACAUCAUUUAAAAUAAUGAGCAACAUGAAGUAGUUUAACACUCCCGUUAUUUUCAGUGCCUUUGUGAGUGAGGUGCUAUAAGCUAUUUCAUUGAAUUUUAGAGAUUUUACACUUUUUGGAAAGGCUUCACAAAAUUCUCAAGACUACACACCAGGAUAAAUAGCAAGCUAUUUCUCAAAUUGUGUUAAAACCAAUGUAAUCCUUUUUGACUGAAGUAGGUAGCAGCAUGGACUCUUGGAAAUAAUUUCAGCUAGGAAAUGUACUAUAGAACCUGUUGGGGUUUUAAGUUCAGUUUUUCCUUUCUCUUAGAACUGCAGCUUGACCUGCAACUGAGCCAACCUAACUGUUUGCUGUCACUGAAAUGGCAUUCCCAUCUCACUGCUUUCCAAAUUCAAACUCUUCUGCUCUUCCUUCUCACCUUACUCUCGGAUCAGUUCUGUUCCCCACCCUAUGCUCUGGCUCCGCCAUUCAGCAAACCCUUUUCCACAAGCUGAUUCAACUCACUAAAUCGGAAGAGCUCUUCCACCAUUCCAGUAAUCAAUUUUCUGCUACUACAGUGAUUUAAAUCAGUUGACCUGACAGUGAUGAAAACCAGAGAUAACAGAGGAAGGGAAUUCACAGGAGGCCACAAGGAGGCCUUACAGAGCCAUGCAUCAAGUGUUUUUUUCUUGGUGGCUUUUCAGCAGCACUCCUCUGUUUAGUCAAAACUAUUUACUGGGCGACACAUCUCCACCAAAACUUUGACAGUUUUCUGCAGCUGCCUUCUGUCCACAACAAAUGCUUUGGUCUAAUAACUGUCAUGGACCUGUGCCUCCAGUAUGACAAGUACCUGUCAUUCAGUAUAUGGCACCUAUUUUAUACUUAAUGAGCCUCACUGAAAUUUACUUUCAUGACUAGUGACCUACAAAUUCCAACACCUGAUCUCUACUAAAACAACACACAAAAUGAACAUCUUUAGUUUCAACUGCAAAGCAACAGAAAGCCAUUGAGAGAAACACAUAGAGUUAAAAGUAAUAAUAAAAAAAUCCUAGUUUAAAAUAUUACUUUAAAAGCAGUCUUUUCUGAAUAAAUAAACGCAGGGGCAAGAAAAAAAAACUUCAGUAGAAACUGCUGUCAUACAUAAGUUGUUAAUACUGACAUUACCUUUCUGUACAUCCAGGGGCUCUGAGAACAUUCAUCCUUUGUUAGGGGAGAUGUACACAAGGAAGCAUCCCCUGUAUCAGGUUUUCCCUGAAUCGAAGGGGUAAAACUCGCCCACGGAGUUUGUAAAGCAUUUAAAGCCGUUCAUGUGUUAUCCUAGCAAACAUGUUACCUCUGUAAAUUGGGGGAAAAGAGUUGACAUGCUUGCUUUGCUUGCUUCUUCUGGGACUUCUAGCAGGAACCGAGUUGUGAAAACGAUAGUGAUUUGACCCAUCUUCUCCCAACUCUAAAACGAUUCUUGUGAGGGAACAAACAACAGGCAGGCCUCUCGGAGAAGAGAGGACACCCCUAUCCUCCCCAAAAGGCACGUCUCACCCCCAGCCGCACUUACUUUCCUGGAUGCGAGGUGCCUCCUCCAGGGCUGCGGCUGCCUAGGGAACAGCGGGCGCUCUGCCGCAACGCCACCUCACCGCGGCAACGGGCGCAAAGGCAGACAGCGGCCGCUCCCCCGGGACGGGACGGGACGGCCCUUCCCGCGGGGCUGGGACCCGCACUGCAGACAGCCCAAAGGAAAGUACUCGCUCCCUCUCGCUGUGCUCCCCCAGCCAGCCGAUAAGGGCGGACCCGCGCAGCAGGUACCCCAGC
ensembl:lncRNA